rnacentral:tmRNA from 1 species
GGGGGCGAAACGGAUUCGACGGGGAUAUAGAAGCUCAAAGCUGCAUGCCGAGGUUCUGUCUGCUCGUAAAACAGAUGGAAAACUUAUAAUCGCCGACGAUUAUAAAUACGCUGUAGCAGCAUAGUUCUGCUCAGCCGUCCUGCCGGUUUUCCCCUGCGGAACCGGCAAAGGGCGUCGACUUAGCGGGGUAGUUUCCGGGCCGUGCCUGCCGGAACGGAAACGAAUUUUUCAGCAGGAUAGCGCUGCAGGAAGUUGGUUCCAGAAAAUUCUGCAGGGCGAUACCCUAAGCUGGAACUAAGCAUGUAGAAGCUUGAGGGGAGUAUUUCCGGACGCGGGUUCGACUCCCGCCGCCUCCACCA